UCGGGGAGUAUCAUAACUGGAAAAGCUUCGGUCUUGAAAACCGAUAGGCGUGUAAAAGCGUUUGGGGGUUCGAGUCCCUCCUCCUCGGU
rnacentral:tRNA from 1 species